rnacentral:rRNA from 1 species
UACCAGCACCCCGAGUGGUCGGGACGAUUAUUGGGCCUAAAGCAUCCGUAGCCGGUCCUGCAAGUCUUCCGUUAAAUCCAGCUGCUCAACAGAUGGGCUGCGGGGGAUACUACAUGACUAGGAGGCAGGAGAGGCAAGCGGUACUCAGUGGGUAGGGGUAAAAUCCGUUGAUCCAUUGAAGACCACCAGUGGCGAAGGCGGCUUGCCAGAAUGCGCUCGACGGUGAGGGAUGAAAGCUGGGGGAGCAAACCGG